GUCCACGCUGUAAACGAUGUGCACUAGGUGUCGGGGGAAUUGACCCCUCCGGUGCCGACGCUAACGCAUUAAGUGCACCGCCUGGGAAGUACGGCCGCAAGGUUGAAACUCAAAGGAAUUGACGGGGGCCCCGCACAAGCGGUGGAGUAUGUGGUUUAAUUCGACGCAACGCGAAAAACCUUACCUGGGCUUGACAUCUGGAGAAUCCCCUAGAAAUAGGGGAGUGCCCUUCGGGGAGCUCCAAGACAGGUGCUGCAUGGCUGUCGU
rnacentral:rRNA from 1 species